UCUAAUAUGGCAGAACUAUAUGCAUCAAGCUUAAGAUUUGUUUAUAAAUAAUAAUAUUUUAUUAGAA
rnacentral:tRNA from 1 species